rnacentral:lncRNA from 1 species
CGAAGCACUUUGUGUAAUGAAUUUAAUUGAGUUUUCCGUUGCACACUUUAAUGACACCAGUAUUUUUACUUUAUGCAAUUCCGUUGUCACUGUUGUGACUUUAUCGUGGAGGAUAUAAACUCAACAGUCUGAAUAAACAAGCUAACCCUUGUUGCUCCAAUUUUCUCCCAACCUCAAAUUCUCUUUUCUUCCUUUGUGUUCAUCAUCGAUUUGCUCGUAAUCCAAUACAAGGUCUUAUAUCCCGACCAUGACUGUGCAGGUCAGUUGAAAUAUAGGAUAAAUUUGACGCUUUGACAAGUAUGAGCUAGAUUUUGUAAUGCUUCAAAGUGAUUUUUGUAAUCAUCACUAUAUUACAUUUGAAAAUCAGUGACAUGGACAUGCAUUUAUAACUACGAGGCACUGAAUUUAUUUAUCCAUCUCGUGAUUGAUGUUUUGUUGAUUAAUUUUUGUCAAAAUUAAUGUUUCUAAACUGUUUCCGUCAACUUCAUUUGUCUUUGGUAAUCUUUCUUUGUUUUAUUCUAAUAUCUGAAAAUGAUAUAUUUGCCCAAAUUUCGUGCCGGCCCGGGCGGCAGGAAUUCAAUUGGCUACUGGGCAAAGCAUAGACGUUGAGUUUAAUGCAAACCAUUUAUUUAUUAUUAUUAUUAUUAUUAUUAUGGCAUGACACAACACAAGUCACAAGGGGCAUGCAUGGACAAAGAUAUAAUGACAAGGGACAAGAAUGGUACAACAUGGUGCCUACUCCACGUGUCACCAGACAUGAUGUAUAGAGGACCACUUAAUUAGCAUGGGAAACCAAGGAAAGAUUGUGUUGGGUGGGUUAUACACAUAGUUGGAUAUUUCACGGCUAGUUAACAAAGGUGGUCCCUUAGGUUAUGUAUUGAAUGAGUUUAUACUGUUUUUUUAUAAAGUAUUAUGAUUUAAAACAUCAUAAUUAAGUUUGGAUUAUGCUCGUUAGUUCAAUCCA